rnacentral:siRNA from 1 species
UGGGUACGGAUAAAGGAUGCCC